GACCUCAAAUCAGGUAGGAUUACCCGCUGAACUUAAGC
rnacentral:rRNA from 1 species